rnacentral:rRNA from 1 species
CAGCAGUGGGGAAUAUUGCACAAUGGGGGAAACCCUGAUGCAGCAACGCCGCGUGAGCGAUGAAGGUCUUCGGAUCGUAAAGCUCUGUCUUUAGGGAUGAUAAUGACAGUACCUAAGGAGGAAGCCACGGCUAACUACGUGCCAGCAGCCGCGGUAAUACGUAGGUGGCAAGCGUUAUCCGGAAUUAUUGGGCGUAAAGGGAGCGUAGGCGGAUAUUUAAGUGGGAUGUGAAAUACAUGAGCUCAACUCAUGUGCUGCAUUCCAAACUGGAUAUCUAGAGUGCAGGAGAGGAGAGUGGAAUUCCUAGUGUAGCGGUGAAAUGCGUAGAGAUUAGGAAGAACACCAGUGGCGAAGGCGACUCUCUGGACUGUAACUGACGCUGAGGCUCGAAAGCGUGGGGAGCGAACAGGAUUAGA